CAGUAGCCGCGGUAAUACGUAGGGUGCGAGCGUUAAUCGGAAUUACUGGGCGUAAAGCGUGCGCAGGCGGUUAUGCAAGACAGAUGUGAAAUCCCCGGGCUUAACCUGGGGACUGCAUUUGUGACUGCAUGGCUAGAGUGCGGCAGAGGGGGAUGGAAUUCCGCGUGUAGCAGUGAAAUGCGUAGAUAUGCGGAGGAACACCGAUGGCGAAGGCAAUCCCCUGGGCCUGUACUGACGCUCAUGCACGAAAGCGUGGGGAGCAAACAGGAUUAGAUACCCGAGUAGUCCCUGUCUCUUAUAC
rnacentral:rRNA from 1 species